rnacentral:rRNA from 1 species
AUUGAACGCUGGCGGCAGGCCUAACACAUGCAAGUCGAGCGGAGCGGCGGACGGGUGAGUAAUGCCUAGGAAUCUGCCUGGUAGUGGGGGAUAACGUCCGGAAACGGGCGCUAAUACCGCAUACUAUCAGAUGAGCCUAGGUCGGAUUAGCUAGUUGGUGGGGUAAAGGCCUACCAAGGCGACGAUCCGUAACUGGUCUGAGAGGAUGAUCAGUUACACUGGAACGGAGACACGGUCCAGACUGCGACGGGAGGGAGCAGUGGGGGAGAUUGCACAAUGGGCGAAAGCCGGAUGCAGCGACGCCGCGUGGGGGAUGAAGGCUUUCGGGUUGUAAACCGCUUUCGCGAUCGAAAGGGUAGGUGGAGAAGAAGCGCCGGCUAACUACGUGCCAGCAGCCGCGGUAAUUC